rnacentral:rRNA from 1 species
GAAGAACGCUGGCGGUGCGCCUAAUGCAUGCAAGUCGAGCGACGCACACCGGAGGGGUAACCCACUGGUAUGACGGAGCGGCGAACGGGUGAGUAACACGUGAGCAACCUGCCCCGCAGACCGGGAUAGCCCAGGGAAACCUGGAUUAAUACCGGAUACCCUCGGAUGACCUCAUGGUCGAUCGAGGAAAGGCCUUUGUGCUGUGGGAUGGGCUCGCGGCUUAUCAGCUAGUUGGUGGGGUAACGGCCCACCAAGGCAACGACGAGUAGCUGGUCUGAGAGGACGAUCAGUCACACUGGAACUGAGACACGGUCCAGACUCCUACGGGAGGCAGCAGCAGGGAAUCUUGCGCAAUGGGCGAAAGCCUGACGCAGCGACACCGCGUGGGGGAUGAAGGCCUUCGGGUUGUAAACCCCUUUCAGGAGGGAAGAAAUUGACGGUACCUCCAAAAGAAGGACCGGCCAACUACGUGCCAGCAGCCGCGGUAAU